rnacentral:pre_miRNA from 1 species
AAUAAACCCUGAGUUUCCGUGUCCAACGUUUGACCGUCCGUCUUAUUUGAAAAAAUUAUAAAAAAAAUUAAAAAGACAAGUUACGUAUAAAGUAUUAAUCAUAUUUUAUCAUCUAACAACAAUGAAAAUACUAAUUAUAAAAAAAUUUCAUAUAAGACGGACAGUCAAAUAUUGAAUACGAAAACCCAGGGUUUAUUUUAUU